rnacentral:rRNA from 1 species
CAGCCGCCACGGUAAUACGAGGGAUGCAAGCGAUAUUCGGAUUGAUUGGGUGUAAAGGGUGUGCAGACGGCUUAUUAAGUCACUUGUUAAAUUCUUCGGCCUAACUGAAGGUCUGCAAGUGAUACUGAUGAGCUAGAGGGUGGAAGAGAGAAGUGGAAUUCUCGGGGCAGCGGUAAAAUGCGUAGAUCUCGAGAGGAACACCAAUGGCGAAGGCAGCUUCUUGGUCCAUUCCUGACGUUCAUACACGAAAGCGUGGGGAGCAAACAGGAUUAGAUACCCCCGUAGUCCCUGUCUCUUAUAC